CCUACGGGAGGCAGCAGUGGGGAAUUUUGGACAAUGGGCGCAAGCCUGAUCCAGCAAUGCCGCGUGAGUGAAGAAGGCCUUCGGGUUGUAAAGCUCUUUUGUCAGGGAAGAAACGGCCUGCUCUAAUACAGCGGGCUAAUGACGGUACCUGAAGAAUAAGCACCGGCUAACUACGUGCCAGCAGCCGCGGUAAUACGUAGGGUGCAAGCGUUAAUCGGAAUUACUGGGCGUAAAGCGUGCGCAGGCGGUUUUGUAAGUUUGUCGUGAAAUCCCCGGGCUCAACCUGGGAAUGGCGAUGAAGACUGCAAGGCUAGAGUUUGGCAGAGGGGGGUAGAAUUCCACGUGUAGCAGUGAAAUGCGUAGAUAUGUGGAGGAACACCGAUGGCGAAGGCAGCCCCCUGGGUCAAAACUGACGCUCAUGCACGAAAGCGUGGGGAGCAAACAGGAUUAGAUACCCUGGUAGUCCACGCCCUAAACGAUGUCUACUAGUUGUCGGGUCUUAAUUGACUUGGUAACGCAGCUAACGCGUGAAGUAGACCGCCUGGGGAGUACGGUCGCAAGNUUAAAACUUCAAAUGAAAUUGACGG
rnacentral:rRNA from 1 species